AUUGAACGCUGGCGGCAUGCUUUACACAUGCAAGUCGAACGGUAACAGGUUAAGCUGACGAGUGGCGAACGGGUGAGUAAUGCAUCGGAACGUGCCCGGUCGUGGGGGAUAACACUUCGAAAGAAGUGCUAAUACCGCAUACGAUCUAAGGAUGAAAGCGGGGGACCGUAAGGCCUCGCGCGAUUGGAGCGGCCGAUGUCAGAUUAGGUAGUUGGUGGGGUAAAGGCCCAACAAGCCGACGAUCUGUAGCUGGUCUGAGAGGACGCCAAGCCCCACUGGGACUGAGACACGGCCCAGACUCCUACGGGAGGCAGCAGUGGGGAAUUUUGGACAAUGGGCGCAAGCCUGAUCCAGCAAUGCCGCGUGCAGGAAGAAGGCCUUCGGGUUGUAAACUGCUUUUGUACGGAGCGAAAAGGCUCUCUCUAAUACAGGGGGCUGAUGACGGUACCGUAAGAAUAAGCACCGGCUAACUACGUGCCAGCAGCCGCCGUAA
rnacentral:rRNA from 1 species